UGCCCAAGGCAGGUGGAAGUUCCCCGGCCAGGGACUGAAUCUGAGCCACGACAGUGACCCAAGCCACCGCAGUGAAAAUGCUGGAUCCUUAACCUGCUGCACCAGAAGAACACUCAAAAGCCUAGUUGAGGUAAUGCCGGGGAGCUGAUAUUCUGGAGCGCUGGCAGUCAUUUUGUGACUCUGAGGGUAAAGCUGACUCAGUGAGAAGGGCAGACUGAGGAGUGGGGGAAGUUCCAGGGUCCUUUCCCAGCUAUGACCAGAAUUAACCAACCGGGGAAAGUCCCCUCUUCUGGGCUUAUUUCUUGCUGUAACACAUGGCCUCGUUGUUUAGCCAGUUGAGUCAGGGGUUUCUGUUUUGGGCCCUGAAGACCGCAUGCCUGAAAGAUGGUGUUUCCAGAGGGGUCCGGGAAUGGCCUAGAGAAAGACAGGUGAGACUAGAAUUCUGCUGGCCUGGACAGAGGCGUUGCGUGAAUUAGGAAGGAUGCUCCCCUGGCUGGGGCUAGCCUUUUGGCACAAAGAAAAGCCUCCGGUCUGGGAGUUCUUGUUGCGGCUCAGCAGGUUAAGAACCAGAUGAGUAUCCAUGAGGAUGCGGAUUUGAUCCCUGGCCUCACUCAGUGGGUUAGGAAUCCAGCGUUGUCACAAGCUGUGGUAUAGGUCUCAGAUAUGUGGCUCAGAUCCUGCGUUGCUGUGGCUGUGGUGUAGGCCGGCAGCUGCAGCUCCAAUUCAACCCUUAGCCUGGGAACUUCCAUAUGCUGGGAGUUUGGCCCUAAAGAGACAAACAAACAAAAAAAAGCCUCUAGGCUGACACAGCCACCCAUCUAGAGCACAGGCUUGUCUAAGGGGCCUUGAGCUGGCUCUCCCUGCCCCCUAGAGCCUUUGUGCAGGAUUCGACCUGGGAGGCCCUGGGAGAGGACCCCGGAUGGAGAGCAGGGAGGCUUCGUGGAGGGGUGUGUGGGGAGGGCAGGGCCUGCGGAAGGCAGCUGGCACCCUUAAGGGAGACCCUCCAAUGGCCGCGCCCACGACCUGCAGCUUCUUCUGCCUCAGACGCCCUGCAGAUGCGCUCCUUGUUCCGGCCCCAAACUGCCCUUGUCCCUAUCUGAGCACUGCCAUCAAUGCCCUGGACCCUUGCAAAGUGUCCCGGACAUGCACUGAGCGGGUAGAAAGGGGCUGGCAGGAUACCCGAGCCAGGCAGGUAGUAGAUGCUGCUCACUUCCCCGUGUGGGCAUUUCAAACCCCCCAGGCGGCUGGCACUCCCUGAACCAUCUUGCUCGCUGGGCAGAGUCCACCCCCCGGCUCUCCGGGGAAGCAGCCAGAGAGCGGGUCUGCGGGCCGCAUGCCCACUUCUGGAAUGGUCGGGGUCUGGAGUCUGGGAGGAUCUGCAGGCCAGAAAAGAUUGAGCCAGGAGAGGCUGGGCAGCAGAGGGGGCCUCACUACCCUCCUGCCUCUCUGUCCCUCUUGGUCCUUCUCUGUCCCUCUUGGUCUUGCCUGGGGCUGCCUGGCUGCUGGGGGGCGGGGCUCAGGGAUGCAUUUGUCAGGGGCUUGGGCAGGCCCUGAGUGGGUGCUGCAGCUUUGGCACUGGGGUCAGGGGACAGACACAGCCCCUCCCGCCCGUGGGGGAGGAGGACAGGAGGAGGACGAAAGAGCCAAGUCACCGACAACUGGCCGAGGCGCUGGACACUUGUUGUCACAUCUGUCAACUCACAGGCCAUCUCUGCAAGCCCCAACUCUGCUCCAGCCUCCUGGGGGCCACCCCGGCUGCCCUGGGGGCCUGGAAAUGCCCAAACCUGUGGCGCUAAUCACGUGUGGCUCUCCCCAUUUAAAUGAAACACAGCGAAGCUAAAUGCAAAGUUCUUCAGUCACAGGAGCCACAUUUCAAAUGCUCAAGAGCCACCCAGGUGCAGGAGGCUCCCGCGUCGUCGAACAGAGUAGAUUCCAGAACAUUUCCGUCAUCACACAAAGAGGCCAGCCCUGACCCCUGGGACACCUGGACCUGCAUGGCAUGGACAGUGCCAGAGGUCCCCCUGCGGGCGCUCAGGGAAAAAGCCAGCAGCCCGCCCAGAGGGGGUGAAGGAGGUCUGGGGUGGGUCUUUGGAGGAACAGGGGGGCAGGGGAGGUCACAGGGAGAGGAGGGGAGGGAGGUGGGAGAGGGGGACAGAGGGUGGACCGCCAAGGACUCUGGGCACGCGGAGCCACGGACGGUUUGAACUGGGACGGGCAGGGGGGGCUUUGCCUUGUAGGAAGCUGCCUGGCUGCCCUGGUGGGUGAAGUGGAGGCGAGGGGAGUGCUGGGGCGGCUGUCCCAUUCGCCCCCCACCACCACUCCCGCUCCCCCGAGCAUUAGAAUAGCGCUCAGAGCUCACGGAGGUGGGAACACCUCAUGCCCUUGGACUCACGGCCCUUUACAGAAGAAAGGGUUUCGUGCAGGCUCGGGGUGGAGGGAUGAUCAGGCCGUCUGACCGACGGGCCCUGAGGCCAGAGACAGGCCUGUCCUGCUGAGGUCUCACCGGCAUGGGUGGCGGGGCUGGGGGGCGCCCUGAAGGGUGGCAUGGGGUCUCCGGAGCAGGCAUGGGUGGUGGCCGGGUGGGGAGAGGCUGAGGCCAGUCACAGCCAGCGGCCUCUCCAUGGCCAAGGAGCCGGCCCUGCUCCUGGCAAGGACAUCUUGGCAGCAGAGGGCUCUGCCCAGGGUGCUAAUACUCUCUUAAUUAGCCAGGCGCUUGCCAGGCACCUGCCGCUUCAGCCCCACUUUACAAAGCACACUCGGGCCUCAGGGCUGGCCCAGCACCUGCCACACUGUGCGUUCGGUGGAUAGCCAGGUACAGCCUCUGAGCCACCCGCCGAGGCCAAGCCAGGCCUUCAGCCCAGGGCUGCCUCAUACAGAAUGACAGAAAUAGGAACAGUGCGUAGGGACACGUCUUCAGUCACAGACACAGGACAGGUCGGCUUCCGGACCUCUGCCGGAUUCCUACUCCCCCGAGUGGUCAUCCCUGCCUCCUGGGGGCCUCCUGGACCUCACGGCUAACUCCCUGCCCAGGACAGCUCGCCACAGGCACUGGCUCCUGACUUAGAAGGGUUACAAUUUAGGGCCAGGAGUGAGGUGUCACACAUCUCUUAGCAAAUCUGAGCAGAGCCAUAGGCCAGACCCCUGAGAAGCUCGUGUCCCUCCUUAAAGCGGGACCAGAGCCUCUGCUCUGCCCAGGGCCUCGGUUUCCCUAUUGGUCACCCUGGAUUGGCAGAGACAGGGUGAUGGGGUGACAGCCGGGCCCUGCACCCCUGGCUGUGACCCGACAGUGUUGGGGAGUGGCCUGGGGCCCUGGAAGGCACAGCUGUCCUGGAGUCCCGGCCUGGAACUGACUCGUCCCACUCAGGGCAUCCUUGAGGGAUGCAGGCCGUACCAGGCUGCCUGGGGGCCCACAGAACAGCGGGGGCAGAGCAACAAAGACGCCAUUCUCCGGCUCGGGGCCACGAGGCCGGUCAUCUAUGCGGGCUGGGCUGUGGCCAUCUGGGCAUCUGUACCGCGGACAGCACUUCUGGACCCUGACACACACCCGGGCCACACCUACCUCCUUUCGAGAGAAGGGAAAGGGAGGCGGGGAGAGGGGGCAGCCCCCGGGAAACUUCCCCCACGCCAUACCGUGCCCUUUCGCAGAAGAGGAACUGAAGCUUCCAGAGGCUGCGAUUUGCCAGUGUCACGCCUGGAACCCCAAACCCUGGUCUCAAUCAAGACCCAGGGCAGGCCCCAGACCCUGAAAGCUGCCACCGCUCUGGGCAGGUGUGAUGGGAGGUUUCCAGCAUCUCGUUGGGAUCCUGGGAGGCAAAGGGAGGGUGUGAGGCUGCAGAGCUGGUGUGAAGGGGGAGCCCCGGGAGGAGAGGGAGCUGUGAGGUAGGGGGGCCCUGGGAGCCAGGCUAAUCUGGUUCCAUCACUCCUGGCUGCCUGGCUUGCUCCUGUUCUUUUUAUCCUCCUGCAAGAUGGAUAAAUUGGCAGGGGGGGGGCACGCCCACCACAUGUGGAAAUUCCCCAGCCAGGGAUCCAACCUGGGCCACAGCAGUGACAACCCUUGAUCCUUAACUGCUGGGUCACCAGGGAACUCCCAUGAUUGAUAGUUUCAAAAAUUUAAAUAAAGUUCACAUUAUAUAAAAUAAACUUUUUUUUUUUUUUUUUUUUUAAGGCUGCACCCGUGGCAUGUGCAAGUUCCUGGGCCAGGAGUUGAAUCUUAGCCACAGCUGCAGCAACAUCAGAUCUUUUAACCCACCAUGUCGGGCCAGGGAUCAAACCCUUGCCUCUGCAGCAACCCAAGCCUCGGCAGUGAGAUUCUUCCUUUUUCUUUUUCUUUUUUGGUCUUUUUAGGGCCUCACCCAUGACAUAUGGAGGUUCCUAGUCUAGGGGUCCCAUCAGAGCCACAGCUGCUGGCCUAUGCCACAGCCACAGCAAUGUCAGAUCUGAGUUGUGUCUGUGAUUUCUGCUGAGCCAUGAUGGGAGGUCCUGCAGUCGGAUGCUUAAUCCACCGUGGGGCCUCCUAAAAUUAAUUAUGUCUAAGCAGACGAUUCUGCAACCUUUCGUACAGCCACAGGGCUGUGCAACCACCACCUCUCCUCAGCUGCAGGACAAUUUCAUCGUUCCCAAGGGGAACCCCAGCCCCAUUAAGCAGACACUCUCCGUUCCCCGCCCCCAGCCCCAGGCAGACACCAACCUGUUUUCUGUUUGGUUCCAUUUCUUCACCUCUCAGCCUCAUUUCUGAAAUGGGGGUGGCACCCAGCUUGAUGAAAAGAUAAGGCAGAUAAAGGCCUUGGCAUCACGCCUAUAGCUCCUGGGCUUGUGAGCUGUUUAAUGCCUGCCUCCCCCAGCAGAGCCCAGGGUGAGGUUCUCAGGCGUGGUGGGAGCUGAGGUCCAGUUCUGGGGGCUGGGAGAAGGGGGGGCUUGGGAGAUUUCCUCAAGGAGAAGCCAUGGGGAGUCUGAGACCCUGGGCGGUGCAGCUUAGCCCAGGCCCAGGUGAGAGGGUCCCCCUCCAGGGCAGGUGCAGGUCGGGGGCCCAGCUAGUCCAGGCAGGCGUCUGCCUGGGGAUCAAGUCUGAAGUGACAGGCCUGCAUGACAGCCUGGUGGGAAUCUGAUGACCUUCCACAGGCCAGUGAGAAUGGGGUGGAAACAGCCAUGGGGGUUGGCAGGGAGGUCACUGGGACAAGUCAUCAAGGGAUGUGAGCAAGAUGCAGAGAGGAAAAAAAAGCCAGGAGCUCCCGCUGUGGCUCAGCAAUAAUGAACCCAACUAGUAUCCAUGAGGACUUGGGUUCAAUUCCUGGCCUUGUUCAGUGGGUUAAGUAUCCGGCGUUGCCACAAGCAUCGGUGUAGGUCGCAGAUGCGCCUCAGAUCCUGCGUUGCUGUGGCUCUGGUGUAGGCUGGUGGCUGCAGCUCUAACUCAACCCCUAGCCCGGGAACUCCCAUAUGCCACAGGUGUGGCCCUAAAAAGACCGGAAAAAAAAGAAAAGAGCCAAAAUGAAAUAAAUAAAAUGCUCGGAAAUAAAGCAAUGCAUUUCUAGAUCGAAAUAUCUAUCAAUAUCUCCUAUCAGCCAUCACUCCUCCACAAUACGUUUCUGAAUAAACACAGAGAGAGGGCUGGCAGGAUGAGGUCUAAGCCCCCAAAACAGUACAUGCGGGUCAGAACUAAGGCCCAGGCAAAGAGAGCAUCAAAGCAUCUGUCAGGGUUCAUUAUUGUCAUGAACAUCUUCAAGCAGACACAAAAAACAUAGCAUCGUGAACCCUCUCAUGCUGUCACCUUGCUGGCACAAUAAUUAAAUCC
rnacentral:lncRNA from 1 species